rnacentral:rRNA from 1 species
UACGGAGGGGGCUAGCGUUGUUCGGAAUUACUGGGCGUAAAGCGCGCGUAGGCGGACCUGCAAGUCGGGGGUGAAAGCCCGAGGCUCAACCUCGGAACUGCCUUCGAUACUGCGGGUCUCGAGUCCGGGAGAGGUGAGUGGAAUCCUAGUGUAGAGGUGAAAUUCGUAGAUAUUAGGAAGAACGACCAGUGGCGAAAGGCG